AUGAACGCUGGCGGCGUGCCUAAUCCAUGCCAGUCGAGCGAACGGACGAGAAGCUUGCUUCUCUGAUGUUACCGGCGGACGGGUGAGUAACACGUGGAUAACCUACCUAUAAGACUGGGAUAACUUCGGGAAACCGGAGCUAAUACCGGAUAAUAUUUUGAACCGCAUGGUUCAAAAGUGAAAGACGGUCUUGCUGUCACUUAUAGAUGGAUCCGCGCUGCAUUAGCUAGUUGGUAAGGUAACGGCUUACCAAGGCAACGAUGCAUAGCCGACCUGAGAGGGUGAUCGGCCACACUGGAACUGAGACACGGUCCAGACUCCUACGGGAGGCAGCAGUAGGGAAUCUUCCGCAAUGGGCGAAAGCCUGACGGAGCAACGCCGCGUGAGUGAUGAAGGUCUUCGGAUCGUAAAACUCUGUUAUUAGGGAAGAACAUAUGUGUAAGUAACUGUGCACAUCUUGACGGUACCUAAUCAGAAAGCCACGGCUAACUACGUG
rnacentral:rRNA from 1 species